UAGACAGAUUUUUGUAUUCGAAUGUAUUCACGGCGUGAAACAGGGGAUUACAACUGUUUUUAAACGGAAAGUGAAUCAAUUAACAUAAUAGACUCCU
rnacentral:pre_miRNA from 1 species